UACGUAGGUGGCAAGCGUUGUCCGGAUUUACUGGGUGUAAAGGGCGUGCAGCCGGGCUGACAAGUCAGAUGUGAAAUCCCGCGGCUCAACCGCGGAACUGCAUUUGAAACUGUCAGUCUUGAGUACCGGAGAGGUCAUCGGAAUUCCUUGUGUAGCGGUGGAAUGCGUAGAUAUAAGGAAGAACACCAGUGGCGAAGGCGGAUGACUGGACGGCAACUGACGGUGAGGCGCGAAAGCGUGGGGAGCAAACAGG
rnacentral:rRNA from 1 species